GACCUGGGCAACCCCAGCCUGGAGGUGCCGGGGCCGGAGCUCCCAGAGGGCUGGGUGCGAGGCCUAGGCGGGGUCAGGUUCGGGUUCCUAGGCCAUAGCGGAGCUGCAGCCCAGGCGGCCGGAGCGGAACCCAGCCCCGCUCCGAGUGCCACGUCUCCAGGAACCCCCUCCUUACUCUUGGACAACACUCCGCCCCCGCCCGGGCCUCCGUCCCCCAAACCGCCCUCAUUUGUGCAGCGCCAGAUCCUUCGGACACAUCCCUAGGUGUCUCCAUCCUCAUUCGGUCCAUCCAACUCCCAGACCUCACGUCAACCGGCUGCACCCCACUUUCCAGCCUGCGCCCCAGAUCUGCAGCCUUCGCCCCUAGAUACACCCGCCUGGUGAUGAGGCGCUCCUCGCGUUCCUUCCGUCUCCAGUGCACCGGCUUUCCCUCGUCCUCUGCGCAGUCCAUCUCAGCUCAUCUCUCCAAUUCAAUGCCAUCAUCUCUCCUCACCAUCUCUCGGUGCCCUGGAAUGUUUGCUGUCAGAUGUCCCCUGUGAAACCCACAAACGCUUGCGAUUUGGCCUCCUUGUUUUAUUUUGUGUAGUCCUACAACGUCUUGUUACUACCCCCUAUUACAACACUUAUAACUCAG
rnacentral:lncRNA from 10 species